GAAUAACACAAAAGAUUGUUUUAUUGGUUGUGCACUUAUCGUUUUUAUCAAGGAACAAAGAUUCAUUCAUGUCUUUUACAAAAAGGGCAUACAAAAAGAGACGCAGUAGACAAGUCCAAAAGGAAUAUUAAAAAAUACUAGAAUUUUCAUCAGUACAUAUAGAAAAAAAAUCGAAUGUUGAAACUUCUAAAAGAAAUGAUUUCUUAUCUUGCGAAAAUCUAAAAGAAUAUUUUGACCAUCAUGAAUCAUCAUCAAGAAUCAUCGAUUUUGUACAAUGAAUACUCUUAUGACCAAAAGCCUAAUGAGUAUAAGCAUAACCCAACUUUAAAGGAAGGUUUUUCUUUAUGUUUUUCUAACCAAGUAAUGUUGCACUAAACAAGUGGAUUGACAAAGAAUAGCAACAAAUUUAUUGUCCCAAAAAAAACUAUAAUCAUGCGCUGAAAAACAACCUUUUGUCAACAAAAGAAUGGCACAAAUUUCCAUUGAUAAAGUUUAAUAUAACAGAUGGCCAAUAUCUAACUUGUUUUGUGUUUUUUUAAAGGUAACUUAAUUACUUUUUUGUAGCAAAAUGUUUUAUAAUUAGAUUCAUUUUCAUGUUGUGAAGAAUAGAACUUUUUACAUCAGAUGAGAUAUAUGUUAAAGAAAGCAUUAAAAAUAAGAAUAACAAAUCAUACCGCUCUUCAUUGCCAGAACCUCCGCCACCUAUUAUGAAUAAGCCCAAUGCUAAAAGUAUAACACAAAUAUCAUAAUUUUUUCUUAAUGGUUUAUAAACUCAAAUACAUUCUUGUUUAAUUUGAUCUGAAUAAUAUCUAUCUAGCUAUUAGUCUUUUUAUGUAUUUCUAAGGUUUUCCUUUUAUUUUCACUAUUUGGGUGUCCUAUUAUAUGUAAUGUUGUUAAAUUGGUUACAUAUAUUUAUAUCAUUGACAACAUUCUAUUGUAUUAAAUAAUCCUUUAAUCAACUUGAUAUGAAAAUUGAAAAUUGAUUGAAAGCAUGCUGAAAUUGUUUGAAUUCAGAAGUUGAAAGAGUACAAAAUUGGUUGAAAGAUUAAAUUAAGUAACAGUUAUGGUUGAGGGAUUAUUUAUAGUUCUAAUUAUAAUUAUUUCUUUUGAAUAGAGUUAUUAUCAGAUUCAUAAAUUGAAGAUGUUUUUUCUUCACAUUUUAUUGAUGAACACAAUAAAACCAAGCAAAGUUCACAUUGUCAAAGAGUUUCAAGUUUUAAUGUUUCCAAUCUGCCCCUUUUGCCUUUGUCUGAUUCUGCAGAUAAAGUUUUAGAUGAUUUAAAAAGUAGGUUUUCCAAAAUAUUAUGGCAACUUCUGCGAUGGAGUAAUAAAAAAAAUUACAUGUAUUUUUGGAAUUUUAGUUUGAGUUACUCAAGCAUAAUUUGAAUUUUAAAAUUGUUAUUUCAUUGAAGUUUUUAUUUAAAAGAAGUUAUAGAAAUUAAGUUUCAGGCUACUGGGGUGAAGUUGAUAGAAUCAGUGGAUGAAGUGGUUACACAGUGGAUAAUAAACUAAAAGAUAAAACCGAGUAUACUAAUUUGCUUGAUAGUUUGAAAAAGAUUGGUGGCGGAAAGCCAAGAGAACAUGUUUUUUUGAUCAUGAAAAGGUUAUUUUCAAAUCAGUUACAGUCCAAAUUAAAUCGAAAAGGAAAUGGGGAAAAGAUAAACUUAGAAAAUCUAGUAAAUAUAUGGAGUGUUUUACGAGAUAUCGGCGACGUGGAAGAUGUUGACGGCGAUGCAGAAAUAUAGUUUCUUAUGUAUAUUUUUGUGAAAUAAAAUUAAGUAAUUUUAGUUAAAA
rnacentral:lncRNA from 1 species